rnacentral:rRNA from 1 species
AGACCCGAAACCCGGUGAUCUAGCCAUGGGCAGGUUGAAGGUUGGGUAACACUAACUGGAGGACCGAACCGACUAAUGUUGAAAAAUUAGCGGAUGACCUGUGGCUGGGGGUGAAAGGCCAAUCAAACCGGGAGAUAGCUGGUUCUCCCCGAAAGCUAUUUAGGUAGCGCCUCGUGAAUUCAUCUCCGGGGGUAGAGCACUGUUUCGGCUAGGGGGCCAUCCCGGCUUACCAACCCGAUGCAAACUGCGAAUACCGGAGAAUGUUAUCACGGGAGACACACGGCGGGUGCUAACGUCCGUCGUGAAGAGGGAAACAACCCAGACCGCCAGCUAAGGUCCCAAAGUCAUGGUUAAGUGGGAAACGAUGUGGGAAGGCCCAGACAGCCAGGAUGUUGGCUUAGAAGCAGCCAUCAUUUAAAGAAAGCGUAAUAGCUCACUGGUCGAGUCGGCCUGCGCGGAAGAUGUAACGGGGCUAAACCAUGCACCGAAGCUGCGGCAGCGAACGUAUCACCCAAGACAACUUUACGGAGUUGACGAUUGACGGAGCGAAGCGACGUCAAAGCGUUCAUUAAAGUCGAGUUGGCUUAGGGAUACGUUCGUUGGGUAGGGGAGCGUUCUGUAAGCCUGUGAAGGUGUGUCG